rnacentral:rRNA from 1 species
GGGGAAUAUUGGACAAUGGGCGCAAGCCUGAUCCAGCCACGCCGCGUGAGUGAUGAAGGCCUUCGGGUCGUAAAGCUCUGUGGGGAGGGACGAACCGCUGGGGUAACCCUUCAGCAUGACGGUAUCUCCUUAGCAAGCACCGGCUAACUUCGUGCCAGCAGCCGCGGUAAUACGAAGGGUGCAAACGUUGCUCGGAAUUAUUGGGCGUAAAGCGCACGUAGGCGGUUUUUCAAGUCGGAUGUGAAAUCCUUAGGCUCAACCAAAGAAGUGCAUUCGAAACUGAAAGACUUGAGUAUGGAAGGGGGUCGUGGAAUUCCCGGUGUAGAGGUGAAAUUCGUAGAGAUCGGGAGGAACACCAGUGGCGAAGGCGACGACCUGGGCCAAUACUGACGCUGAGGUGCGAAAGCGUGGGGAGCAAAC